rnacentral:rRNA from 1 species
UAGGGAAUAUUAGUAAUGGGCGCAAGCCUGAACUAGCAACACCGCGUGUGCGAAGAAGGCCUUCGGAUUGUAAAGCACUUUUUGAGAGGAUGAGGAAGGACGGUACUCUCAGAAUAAGUCUCGGCUAACUACGUGCCAGCAGCCGCGGUAACACGUAGGAGGCAAACGUUAUCCGGAUUUACUGGGCGUAAAGCGCGGGUAGGUGGUUUGGUAAGUAGAGCGUGAAAGCUCCUGGCUCAACUGGGAGAGGUCGUUCUAAACUGCCGGACUAGAGGAUGGUAGAGGGAGGUGGAAUUCCGGGUGUAGCGGUGGAAUGCGCAGAUAUCCGGAGGAACACCAGUGGCGAAAGCGGCCUCCUGGACCACUCCUGACACUCAGACGCGAAAGCUAGGGUAGCAAACG